rnacentral:rRNA from 1 species
GGUUAAGCGAAUAAGCGUACACGGUGGAUGCCUAGGCAAUCAGAGGCGAUGAAGGACGUGCUAAUCUGCGAAAAGCGUCGGUAAGGUGAUAUGAACCGUUAUACCCGACGAUAUCCGAAUGGGGAAACCCAGUAUCCAAUGGAUACUAUCAUUAACUGAAUCCAUAGGUUAAUGAGGCGAACCGGGAGAACUGAAACAUCUCAGUACCCCGAGGAAAAGAAAUCAACCGAGAUUCCCCUAGUAGCGGCGAGCGAACGGGGAGCAGCCCAGAGUCUUAAUCAAUAGCAGUGUCAGGAGAACGGUCUGGAAAGUCCGGCAGUAAAGGGUGAUAGCCCCGUAUCUGAAGAUGCUGUUGUUGUGAACUCGACGAGUAGGGCGGGACACGUGUUAUCCUGUCUGAAUAUGGGGGGACCAUCCUCCAAGGCUAAAUACUCCUGAUUGACCGAUAGUGAACCAGUACCGUGAGGGAAAGGCGAAAAGAACCCCGGCGAGGGGAGUGAAAAAGAACCUGAAACCGUGUACGUACAAGCAGUAGGAGCCCCAUCACUCAAGUGCCUCGCACUGAGUGAUGCAAGAACAUCACCGAAAAUAGCGCCGAAUUUGCUAACAAGGUUGGUCGAUUUUUUCAAGCCGUCGCGCAGUGUACCUAGAAGUACACGAGCAACGGAAGUUAAAAAAUCGGGCAAGAUUGAACGCAAAGGCAAGCGGGACAUUUGAGGAUGGGGUGACUGCGUACCUUUUGUAUAAUGGGUCAGCGACUUAUAUUCUGUAGCAAGGUUAACCGUAUAGGGGAGCC